AGAUGAGGUUUCUUAGGCGCCCAGGAGAUGACUGGGUUGAUAGGCCAGAUCUGGAAGCAUCGUAAGGUGUGGAGGUGACUGGUACUAAUCCGCCGUUGAUCAA
rnacentral:rRNA from 1 species